CGGUGCCACCGGAGACCCCCACGUGGUCCCUCGUGUCUUGCACGUUCAAACCCUAAUUUCAAGGCUCUACCCUACGUCUUUCACUGUCCGUGGCUGCCUUUUGAAUUUUCGUAGAUUAUUUGGGUUUUGUUUUCCUCGUUGUUUCUUAUAACUACUUCGAGGGUUACCCUCCAUUUUUUAGGGUCACUUUACCUUAUAUAAAUCAAACUACCUCGUCAUGUAGCACAACAACUUUUUGUAAGCAGUUCGAGACCAUGUUUUUUUUUUUUUGCGUGUUCCUCACUCGCACGGAAUCUCCUAUGUUUAUAUCAUGUCUAAUUUUCAUGAAGUUCUCUCUUUGAAAAGGGGGGAAAUUGUGAAGGACCUGUGGCCUAUGAGAUCUGAGCUGAGAACAAAAUAUAUUGUAAACAUUGGUGUGUGGUUGAUUAUUUUAGUUCCAUAAAAUAAAACUAAAUAGUAUCAAUACAGUAGAAGGGGACAUUUAAAACAUUUCACGUCUCAAUUAUUUGAAUGGUAGAAGUAUAUAUAGUACUUAGUAGUUUUAAAAAAAUAAAUGGCGUUUGAACGCGUUAAGAUAGGAGGAGGAGUGUGUGGCCCAGAUUUGAAUCUAACAACUUCUAUUUUGGUAGACAAGCCAAAGGUUUUAUGCUGAACCUUGUCCGGUGAAUGAGGAACCCCAAGCAUGUAUUGUGGAAUUAUUAAUUCCUCAAAUUAAAUAAUUGAGCUGUGUUCACCCUGGCCCAAACUUUUCUGGUUACUUCUACGUCUUCCACCCAUCGCCCCAACCAUUUCUUAGCACAACUUACAACUAGUAGCAC
rnacentral:lncRNA from 1 species